rnacentral:rRNA from 1 species
AGCGAACGCUGGCGGCAGGCCUAACACAUGCAAGUCGAACGAACCUUUCGGGGUUAGUGGCGGACGGGUGAGUAACACGUGGGAACGUGCCUUUAGAUUCGGAAUAACUCAGGGAAACUUGUGCUAAUACCGAAUGUGCCCUUCGGGGGAAAGAUUUAUCGCCUUUAGAGCGGCCCGCGUCUGAUUGGCUAGUUGGUUGAGGUAAUGGCUCACCAAGGCGACGAUCAGUAGCUGGUCUGAGAGGAUGAUCAGCCACAUUGGGACUGAGACACGGCCCAAACUCCUACGGGAGGCAGCAGUGGGGAAUCUUGCGCAAUGGGCGAAAGCCUGACGCAGCCAUGCCGCGUGAAUGAUGAAGGUCUUAGGAUUGUAAAAUUCUUUCACCGGGGACGAUAAUGACGGUACCCGGAGAAGAAGCCCCGGCUAACUUCGUG